CACGCAGCCUCUCGCAUCAUUUCCCUCCAUCGCUGUCAUGUUUGGACAGAUUGCACACGGCGGUUUGGCCUGGAUGUUGCGCUGCGGUCGGGGAGGUUUCUCAACACCAAGUGCUGCUUCUGAGGCCUGCGUCGCUACGCUGAUAGCGUUGGUUACCACGACGACGGGUGACGGUAGAGCGAGUCUGGGUGUGAAGUUACCUUCUGUCCACUUUGUAUUUGUGACGUUGAUCUGCAGGUCGCUACAACGUGCUCCUUGUGAGAGUCAGAUUGCUACUCUCGUUAGCUCGGUAGCUUUAGCUGGUUUAUCUAAAGUGAUGCGUUCAUGGACCCUCGUAGGCCUUGGUGCAGAUUAACCCGAAGCAAAGAUGGAUGAAUAUUAACAACGAGCCUCAGUGUUCUCCGCGCUCUGUAACACUCGCGCAUGUACUUUGGAUGUCAGAGACGUGAGACGUUGAGCGUUGAUUCAAACUGACAAUAAAACAGUGUUUGUCCUCAGGGCCUCGUCUCCACAACUCCGCCUUCCACAAGUCCUGUUGGUGUAAUGUCCCCGCUGAAUGCCGCCGCGGGUUUAACCUCAUUUAUUCAGGUUCAUACUCUCAUUCUCAUUAAGCAGCGCCUUGGACCUCUGGAGUUUAUACUGAAGUGUUUCUGUUUUAAACUCUGAUCUGAAACCAGCCAAGAAACUGCUGCUGAAUUCUGCACAUCGGCUGCAACAAAUGGGACUCCUUAUGACCCCCUUGCCUUUCGUCUCAGGUCUCCUCCAGUGUUUGACACUUGUUUAGCCACCAGCUGUCCACACGUCUCAGUAGAUCCCAGAGGCUUACGGGAUGAUAGCGCUCAGAUAAACAGUGAUACAGCAGAAACCAGGACUACCGUGUGGAGAGAGAGUUUCCCUGGAUGGCCCCCAGCCUUCUGCCCAGCACCAACUGGAUCGGGUGGAUGAUCGUCGCCAUGGAUGCAGAGCGGCACCACCCAGCGGCCCACUUUACAACCUCACAUUUUCAUGCUCAUUGUGAUAUUUCAAUGUCAAAGAAUCUGCAAAUUGCAAAGAAUUGCUAAAAACCAUUUGUUUCAACUUCUACCUAAACGUGUUUCCUGUGACGUGGUUUCCUGUCUGACGUGGUUUCCUGUGUGUGACGUGGUUUCCUGUGACGUGGUUCCUGUCUGACGUGGUUUCCUGUGUGACGUGGUUUCCUGUGAAGUGGUUUCCGUUGUGACGUGGUUUCCUGUGUGACGUGGUUUCCUGUGACGUGGUUUCCGUGUGACGUGGUUUCCUGUUCUGACGUGGUUUCCCGUGUGACGUGGUUUCCUGUGACGUGGUUUCCUGUGACGUGGUUUCCUGUCUGACGUGUUUCCCGUGUGACGUGGUUUCCUGUGACGUGGUUUCUGUGUGACGUGGUUUCCUGUCUGACGUGGUUUCCCGUGUGACGUGGUUCCUUGUGACGUGGUUUCCUGUGACGUGGUUUCCCGUCUAACCUGGUUUCCUGUGUGUGACGUGGUUUCCUGUGACGUGGUUUCCUGUGUGACGUGGUUUCCUGUGAUGUGGUUUCCCGUGUGACGUGGUUUCCUGUGCGUGGUUUCUGCGUGACGUGGUUUCCUGUCUGACGUGGUUUCCCGUGUGACGUGGUUUCCUGUGAUGUGGUUUCCGUGUGACGUGGUUUCCCGUGACGUGGUUUCCUGUGACGUGGUUUCCCGUCUAACCUGGUUUCCUGUGUGUGACGUGGUUUCCCGUGACGUGGUUUCCUGUCUGACGUGGUUUCCUGUGUGACGUGGUUUCCCGUGUGACGUGGUUUCCUGUGCGUGGUUUCUGUGUGACGUGGUUUCCUGUCUGACGUGGUUUCCCGUGUGACGUGCAUUCCUGUGAUGUGGUAUCCCGUGUGACGUGGGUUCC
ensembl:lncRNA